rnacentral:sRNA from 1 species
GAGGAGGAGCUGCUACCUGAGGUCAGGAAUGUUGAAUGCACCCAGGGUGACAGCGUUGAGGAGGUCGCCCUGUUGUGUGUCCUCUCCCAUCUCAUCCCUGCCCUUUCCCACAAUCCCAGUGGCCCUUCUCCCAUCUUUCCUGCAGAUAUGUGUAUAACCACAUUGGUGGGGAGCAUUCCGCCGUGAUCCCAGAGCUGGCGGCCACAGUGGCCACAUUUGCCAUCACCACUCUGUGGCUUGGGCCUUGUGACAUUGUCUACCUGUGGUCAUUCCUUAACUGCUUUGGCCUCAACUUUGAGCUCUGGGUGCAAAAACUGGCAGAGUGGGGGCCCCUAGCACGAAUUGAGGCCUCUCUGUCAGUGCAGAUGUCCCGUAGGGUCCGGGCCCUGUUUGGAGCCAUGAACUUCUGGGCCAUCAUCAUGUACAACCUUGUGAGUCUGAACAGUCUCGAAUUCACAGAGCUGGUUGCCCGGCGCCUGCUACUCACAGGGUUCCCCCAGACCACGCUGGCUGUCCUGUUUGUCACCUACUGUGGCGUCCAGCUGGUAAAGGAGCGUGAGCGAACCUUGGCACUGGAGGAGGAGCAGAAGCAGGACAAAGAGAAGCCGGAGUAGGAGGAAGCGGGUAGUGGGAUGGGCUCUGCUCAGCUAUUCUUGGGCCAGAUGGGGCCUGACCAAUAGAAUAAAAGACUUUUCUACAACA